UACGAAGGGGGCUAGCGUUGCUCGGAAUGACUGGGCGUAAAGGGCGCGUAGGCGGACGGCUUUGUCGGGCGUGAAAUUCCAGGGCUUAACCUUGGGGCUGCGUUCGAGACGGGUUGUCUAGAGUUUGGAAGAGGGUCGUGGAAUUCCCAGUGUAGAGGUGAAAUUCGUAGAUAUUGGGAAGAACACCGGUGGCGAAGGCGGCGACCUGGUCCUUGACUGACGCUGGGAGCGCGAAAGCGUGGGGAGCAAACAGG
rnacentral:rRNA from 1 species